rnacentral:lncRNA from 1 species
GGAUAAAAAUGAAAAUUGUACACCCGGCAAGUCGAAAACCUGAGCAGGCGACUUGGGCAAAAAUGGGUAUCCCGGUGGACUGAAAACUCGAAAGGACGGUCCAGGCAAAAGAGGGAUUAAAACGAACAACUGCGUCUAGCAUGAUCGUUUGCGCUUUGGUUAAAGCAUCAUGGAUAAUACCCGGUGGGGAUCAGUCGGAAU